AUGAGUAGUCGGGAGUUGGUCACUCUGAGUGUGGGAGGUGUGAGAUUUGUAACGCGGGCUUCUACCUUGCAGCGGUUCCCUGAGUCCAGGCUGGCACGGAUGGUGAAUGACAAUGACCAGGAAUUUAAACUGGUGAAUGGAGAGUUUUUUGUGGACAGAGAUGGAGUUUUGUUUGGUUACAUCAUGGACUUCUUGAGGACUCUGCAGGUGUCCUUACCAACUGACUUCUCAGACUAUCAGAGGCUGCAGAGAGAAGCAGAGUACUAUGGACUUUACCCGCUGGCCGACCUCCUGAGCCAAGAACAUUUGCUGAAGCCAAGGCUGGAGAUCUUGGAAGUGCGUUUUUCUCUCCAAGAAAUGCAGGCCUUUUUCCGGAUCUUUGGUUCCUGCAGUACCACCAUUGAGGCCCUAGCUGAGCAGAUCACUGUGUUUACAGGGCAGCAGUCAGGACAGGGCUGGAACAGCCCCUUUUCUUCUCAGAAACGACUCGUUCCACUUCCUUUGGAAAGACCCUCUCAUCACGAUAUGGUUUUUCUGUGUGGUACUGAGUAUUCUGCUGGUGACCAGGUCGUGGCCAGGUAUGUUUCCAUAAAGCCUGACAAUAGAAAGCUGAUUAAUGGUACUAAUGUGCUAGGCCUGCUGCUUGACAGUUUACUCAAAGAUGGAUUUCGUCUCAUAAGCACCAGGACAGUGGCCAGUGAAGAGAAGGUUGAAUGCUACACUCUUGAAAGGAUGAAGAGGGCAGCAGGCCUUGCCAUCAUGGUGAACCAAACUGCAGGGAGCUCUGGGGUAGCACAAGCAAGGAGAAGCCAAGUGCAGAAAGGGAAAUAAAGGCUUUUCCUUCCAUCUUUUGAAUGUAGAUUUCAGCAUUUCCAAGAGUUGUUUUUGUUUUUUCUCUGUGACUAAAAUUUAGAUGAGGACUUGCAAUGCAUCAGCCAUCCCUUCUAGAAAAUUGUUUUUAUGUUAUGUGCUAAUCUGCAAGUAGAUUUUAAAAACAUGGUAAUCCAUGAAGAAUUAACAUCUUGAUGCAACUGUCAUCCCAACAGUUUGGAGAAGUGGCUGGAGGGGAAUGCAAACCCCAAGGAUUGAUCAAUGCUUCCACUCACUGACUCUCUUGCAGUUGGCUGACAGCAGCUGUGCUGCCAUGUGCUUUGUGAAAGCUGUCGCUGAGGUCUGUCAAAUAACAUGUGACUGUCUCUUGCAGAACACUCCUCUGUCCUCUCCUCCCACUCUGGUGGCAAUAAGAUGCUCUUCAGUUCUGAGAAUUAAAUUAUAAAGAUCUUUGUGAACAGAAGCUUAAUUCAGCACCAGAAAGCCACCAGAGUGGAUCAAAAGUCCUGUUUGAGUUCACAACGAAGCAUUCAUAACUUUGAAUACAUUUUUUUUUAGAAGAAGUUGUUCUUAGAUUGCUGGAAAAUGUUACUAAAUAUUCAUUGAGAAACAAGCUGGGAAUUAUCCAAGAAGAGGAGGGAGACUCUUUGCCUCUUACUCCUUCCCUCUGAUUUGCGCUGAACCAUUGCCAAGCUUUAACUUUACAAGGUUUAUUUUUAUUGAUUUUCAACAAUAAACAGUGCGAGUAUCUUCAAUAAAAGAUUUACAGUGCAUCAUGAAGAAAUUCAACUCCCUACCAAAUAUUAUAUUGAUCUAUUCCCAAAUGCUACUGAAACAGCCUAUAAACCCCCAAAUGAAGUCCAGUGUUGGAGAACUUCCUCUCUCUAGUGACAGAUGCAUAUGACUGUUAUGUCUUCAGAAGACAAUAAAAGGGAAGGGAGUGACUCUGCUUCUUUGACCAUAUCUUCAACAGGCCAGUUAAAUCUGUCAGCUCAAUGUAAUCCACAUAAAUAACGAAGUUGGGAGCCAAGGGAACUGCUAGUGUGUCUGAAGAUUCCCAUUCUUUGAAGCUGACUUUCCUGCUGCAGACCAUAAUUAGUCACAGAAGAUCUUGUUGUAACUAGUAAAUGGAUGGACCAACAAUGAUUUGAAUAGUCUGGUUCUGGCUGGAGAUAUGCCUGGAGCCCUGAAUAUUCUCAAAUGGGUGGGUGAGAUGUAAAUCACUAGUCAUCAUAUAAAAUACAAAUAAAUCUGACUUCUAUUAAAAAAAAAAAAAAAAAAAAAAAAAAAGAAAGAAAAGAAAAAUAGAAGAAGAGAAGAAGAAUGUCAGGUUUUUGGACCAUCACGUAGCUUCUGCUGAAAUAACCUCCUGAAGUGUGAUCUGAUGUGUAAAUUUUUCCAAGAAUCCUUCCUCCAUUUCUACUGUUUUCAUACUAAUGGAAUGGUUCAAUAAUUGGUGUCUUCUUUCUGGUCAAAAGGAUGAUGAAUGUACCCCUAAAGGCUGGAAACAGUAAUGUGUACAAAUCUGCUGUAGAGUGUUAAUUUAGGGCUUUGCUUUCUAAGCAAGUUACUGUUACAGCAGUCAGCUGAGUGCUUGCUGAAACUAUGAGGAAUUAAACAUUGCAACAUUGUUCCAUCCUGAUUUUCCAUAGGAAAAAAAAGGCAAUAGAUUGGAAACAUCAAGUCUGGGGUUUUGCUAGUGCUUUUGGAGUCAGGAACUGAGUUUGAAUUUCAAAGGCAGUUUGUAGCUUUCAUUGAGGGCCUUCUGAAAAGGCUGGUUUAUGGAUUUUGUUUUUGUUCCCCAGUGAUAUCAAAACUGAGUAAUAAAAUAAUUGCUGACAUACUGGUUUAUUUACAAUGUUGUAUUCAACAAUAAACAGAAAGCAUGCUGAUCUUUCCAUCCUUUAA